rnacentral:tRNA from 1 species
CGCCCUGUAGCGCAACCGGUAGAGCCGAGCCCUCAUAAGGCUUUGGUUGCAGGUUCGAGCCCUGCCGGGGCGACCA